ACAGCUCACUGGUCUAAAUAAGUUGUCUUGCGGCGAAGAUGUAACGGGGCUCAAGCCAUGAGCCGAAGCUGAGGAUGCAUUUAUUGCAUGGUAGCAGAGCGUAGUGUGACAUAGUUCCAUGUGUCCUUAUCGUCCUUCGGGACGUAUUGGACACAAGGAGCUUUCUGUGAAGCUGGCGCGUGAGCGAUCCGGUGGAGAGAUCACUAGUGAGAAUGAUGACAUGAGUAGCGACAAAGAGUGUGAGAGACACUCUCGCCGAAAGUCCAAGGGUUCCUGCUUAAAGCUAAUCUGAGCAGGGUAAGCCGACCCCUAAGGCGAGGCCGAAAGGC
rnacentral:rRNA from 1 species